rnacentral:piRNA from 1 species
UAAAUAUGGCUAGUAUAAGCCUCUGGGGUU